rnacentral:rRNA from 1 species
GACGGAGGAUGCAAGCGUUAUCCGGAAUGAUUGGGCGUAAAGCGUCCGCAGGUGGCAGUUCAAGUCUGCUGUCAAAGACCGGGGCUUAACUUCGGAAAGGCAGUGGAAACUGAACAGCUAGAGUAUGGUAGGGGCAGAGGGAAUUCCUGGUGUAGCGGUGAAAUGCGUAGAGAUCAGGAGGAACACCCGUGGCGAAGGCGGCACGCUGGGCCGGCCCUGACGCUGAGGCGCGAAAGCGUGGGGAGCGAACGGG